rnacentral:rRNA from 1 species
CGUUGAGAAGUUCGUUGUGCAAGUCAAUGCGUCUUGAAAAUUAGAUCUUAUUAAUUUAAUUAAAUAUAGUCUGUAUACCAGAAAAGUAAUAAAAAGAUUUUGAAAUGUUAUUAUUUUAGUAGAAUGAAUCGAAAAAACUUAAAAAGAGUUAUAGUGUAAAGUACUGUGAAGGAAAGAUGAAAUAAAUUGAAAAUUUAAUUAAAAGAAAGUAGAGUUAAAAACUUGUACCUUGUGUAUUAGGGAAAAUCAAAAUAAUCUUGUUAAGAUAAGCGUUCCCGAAAAAAAAGAGCUAAUAUGGUUGCAGAGUUUUCGUAUUAAUGAAAUUGUAAAAUCUAUAUUAGUAGUGAAAUGCUAGCCGAUUUUUUAUAUCUGGUUGUUGGAGAAUUAGAUUGAAUUUAUCUAUGUCGAGGUGGAGAAAACUUUGAUAUAAGAAAGAGUAGGAGGGAAAAGCUUCUUAUUCUAAUAAUAGGUGAGUUAUAAUAAAAAGAAUUGAAAUAUUAUUGAAUUAGGCUUAAAAACAGCCAUAUU